rnacentral:lncRNA from 1 species
AAUCAGAUAGAAUAAAAUAAAAAAAAACCAACCAAAAUUUAGUAAAAAAAAGAAUUUGAAGCUACACCUAACCAAAUGUCCAAAUAGCCUCAGCUAGUCCUAUUUAUACUUUGUUCAAUUAUCCCUAGAAUUUUCUAGAAUGUCUCUAACAAUGGGCUCUACUAAGAUAAUUAUCCUUUUAGAAGAUUCUAGAAAUAGGUCCUACUAUAAUAACCUCCUUAAGCCUUUUUAAAAGGUUCUAUGGUAGGUUUGAUAUGAACUACCAUCCUAAUCUCAAUUCUAGAAACUUCUCAAAAACAACUUCCACAACAUAUCUCUAUAUGCAAAUAAUAUAAAUAUUCUAUCUAUGCCCUAUUACAACU